CCCUCCCAGUCUAAAGCCCCGCCCACGCCACACUCUCCUUCCUUGCACAGCCCUUGGGGCCUUGUCCACCCUCAGGCUCUCCUGCCCCCUCCCACCCUUUAGUCCAUCACCUUUGCCUGAGCCCAGGGGGCAGGGGCUGCAAUCUGGGCCAUGGAGGACCCAAGGAACCCCAGCUGGACUCCUGUCUGGAGCUGGGUGUGUGUCAGGGCUAGGCCCCCACCUGACAGUGGCAUCUCUCCUGCAGAGGCCCAAGAGCAGGCGACAGAGCCGGGUCCAGUGCUGUCCACAUCUGCCUCCAGUGUUUCACUGCUGUCGCCAGGUUCACCUCCAGGCUCCAGGAAGCUGCAGGCUGUGCCUAAGGCCAGGCUGGGAUACAUGGUAGGAAUCCCAAUGGCUAUCAUCUUCUGCAUCCUGGUGGUGGGCUUCCUCAGCCAGCGCUGCACCCAUCAUUCAACAAAAUUUGGAGAUUUGUGCAGGUAGGAGGCCCAGCACCUGGUACAGGCAGCACUGGGGUCAGUGCCGAGGUCGCCUUAGAGCCCUGGCCCAAUACUGAUCUGAGGUCCUGCACCCACAAGGCCUGGGGGGAUGAUGGGGCAGUGUGGAGCCUGGGCCGAACUUCUCCCCAGGAUCUCAGCAGCUAUGACAAACAGGUCCAACCUGGGCCAAGCCCACACGGCCGCCUGUCCUGAAACCCCUACCUGGUCCCCAGGACAGCCAGCAGGGCAGCUUGGGAGUAUGGACUUUAGUCUACUCCCAGGACUUCUGAG
rnacentral:lncRNA from 1 species